AAUCUUGGACAAUGGGGGCAACCCUGAUCCAGCCUUGCCGCUAGUGUGCAGAAGGUCUUCGGUUUGUAAAGCACUUUACGUUGGGAGGAAUGGCUUCAGGUUAAUACCCUGACGAUUUCACGUUACCAACAGAAUAAGCACCGGCUAACUCUGUUCCUGCAGCCGCGGUAAUACAGAGGGUGCAAGCGUUAAUCGGAAUUACUGUGCGUAAAGCGCGCAUAGGUGGUUCAGUAAGAUGGGUGUGAAAUCCCCGGGCUUAACCUGGGAACUGCUUUCAUAACUGCUGAGCUAGAGUACGGUAGAGGGUAGUGGAAUUUCCUGUGUAGCGGUGAAAUGCGUAGAUAUAGGAAGGAACACCAGUGGCGAAGGCGACUACCUGGACUGAUACUGACACUGAGGUGCGAAAGCGUGGGGAGCAAAC
rnacentral:rRNA from 1 species